GGCUCAGGACGAACGCGGGCGGCGUGCUUAACACAUGCAAGUCAAGGGGGUCCGUAGCAAUACGGGCAACCGGCGAACGGGUGCGUAACACGUGAGCAACCUGCCGCGCUCUGGGGGAUAGCCGGCCCAACGGCCGGGUAAUACCGCAUACGUUCUUUGGGGGGAGUCUCCUGAAGAAGAAACCUCCGGGGGAGCGCGAGGGGCUCGCGGCCUAUCAGCUAGUUGGCGGGGUAACGGCCCACCAAGGCAGUGACGGGUAGCUGGUCUGAGAGGAUGGCCAGCCACAUUGGGACUGAGAAACGGCCCAGACUCCUACGGGAGGCAGCAGUGGGGAAUCUUGCGCAAUGGUCGAAAGACUGACGCAGCGACGCCGCGUGUGGGAGGACGCCCUUCGGGGUGUAAACCACUGUUGCCCGGGACGAAACUCCUCUUUCGAGAGGACUGACGGUACCGGGUGAGGAAGCACCGGCUAACUCCGUGCCAGCAGCCGCGGUAAUACGGAGGGUGCGAGCGUUGUCCGGAAUCACUGGGCGUAAAGGGCGCGUAGGCGGCGCGGAAAGUCGUCGGUGAAAGCUCAGGGCUCAACUCUGAGUCUGCCGGUGAUACUCCCGCGCUCGAGCUCACUAGAGGCAGAUGGAAUUCCGGGUGUAGCGGUGGAAUGCGUAGAGAUCCGGAAGAACACCGGUGGCGAAGGCGGUCUGCUGGGGUGAGGCUGACGCUGAUGCGCGACAGCGUGGGGAGCAAACAGGAUUAGAUACCCUGGUAGUCCACGCCGUAAACGAUGGGCACUAGGUGCUUGGGGGAGCGACCCCUUGAGUGCCGGCGCUAACGCAUUAAGUGCCCCGCCUGGGGAGUACGGCCGCAAGGCUGAAACUCAAAU
rnacentral:rRNA from 1 species